rnacentral:rRNA from 1 species
CUGUCCUUAGUACGAGAGGACCGGGAUGGACGCACCGCUGGUGUACCAGUUGUUCUGCCAAGGGCAUCGCUGGGUAGCUAUGUGCGGACGGGAUAAGUGCUGAAAGCAUCUAAGCAUGAAGCCCCCCUCAAGAUGAGAUUUCCCAUUCCGCAAGGAAGUAAGAUCCCUGAAAGAUGAUCAGGUUGAUAGGUCUGAGGUGGAAGUGUGGCGACACAUGGAGCUGACAGAUACUAAUCGAUCGAGGACUUAACCUAAA